rnacentral:misc_RNA from 1 species
UUUCCGUAGGUGAACCUGCGGAAGGAUCAUUAACUACAAAUCUUUGAAGCAAUUCACAUUAGCCCCGUGCACUCGUGCACGUGACAUUUUAUCGUUUGCCAUGUUUAUACUUUGAGAAGGAGAAACUUUUAACAAUGGAUCUCUAGGCUCUU